UCGGGAAUUUUGGGCAAUGGGCGCAAGCCUGAUCCAGCCAUGCCGCGUGCAGGAAGAAGGCCUUCGGGUUGUAAACUGCUUUUGUACGGAACGAAAAGGCCCUUUCUAAUAAAGAGGGCCCAUGACGGUACCGUAAGAAUAAGCACCGGCUAACUACGUGCCAGCAGCCGCGGUAAUACGUAGGGUGCGAGCGUUAAUCGGAAUUACUGGGCGUAAAGCGUGCGCAGGCGGUUCUAUAAGACAGAUGUGAAAUCCCCGGGCUCAACCUGGGAAUGGCAUUUGUGACUGUAGAGCUAGAGUACGGUAGAGGGGGGAUGGAAUUCCGCGUGUAGCAGUGAAAUGCGUAGAUAUGCGGAGGAACACCGAUGGCGAAGGCAAUCCCCUGGACCUGUACUGACGCUCAUGCACGAAAGCGUGGGGAGCGAAACAGGAUUAGAUACCCAUGUAGUCCCUGAGCGGGCUGGCAAGGCGCAU
rnacentral:rRNA from 1 species